UACGUAGGGGGCAAGCGUUGUCCGGAAUCAUUGGGCGUAAAGAGCGUGUAGGCGGUUCGGUAAGUCUGUCGUGAAAUCCUGAGGCUCAACCUCGGGCGUGCGAUGGAUACUGCCGGGCUAGAGGAUGGUAGAGGCGAGUGGAAUUCCCGGUGUAGCGGUGAAAUGCGUAGAUAUCAGGAGGAACACCAGUGGCGAAAGCGGCUUCCUGGUCCAGCACCGACGUUCAGGCACGAAAGCGUGGGGAGCAAACAGG
rnacentral:rRNA from 1 species